UGGAGGGUAGGAAGCAGCAAGUGAAGGAAGUGGAGCAGAGAUGAGAGUGCGGCCCUCCCAGGAAGGAGGUCUGGGGGCUCUUAACCUUCCUUGCGGAUGAAGAAAUGGAGGCCAAAAGUCAAUAACCUGUCCAGUUUCACACAGCUGAUCAGUGGAAAGACUGGGGUUUGAAUUCUGAUCUGUUUGACAGUUUAUGGGAAGAACAUAUGAGUGACCGUAUGUGUAUGUGUCUUGUAAGCUCAUUUCUAAUCAGCCCCUGGGAAUACUGGAUCUGAGAAACACUUUGUCCUUCUGAGGAACAAAACCCUUCCCAGGUGACUGCUCAUCAUGCACAGGCGGGUGAUAUUGAGGACCAUGACAACGGUGAAGGCCACAAGGCAGACGACCAUGUAGUAGACGCCCAUGUCUCCAGAGGUAAAGAUGAC